rnacentral:lncRNA from 1 species
AUUGUUGAUGUGGGUAAAUGCUGAAUGAUCCAAUAGUCUCAGACAGGAAGUCCAGGAGCCUUUGACUACGCCCUGGCAGGUAUAGUAAAGACCAGGAGCCUUUGACUAUGCCCUGGCAGUUAUAGUAAAGACCAGGAGCCUUUGACUACGCCCUGGCAAUGGUAAGUACAGAGGUGUUAUAUACACAUAUACAUAUAUGACAGGAAGAC